rnacentral:rRNA from 1 species
AACGAACGCUGGCGGCAUGCCUAACACAUGCAAGUCGAACGAGACCUUCGGGUCUAGUGGCGCACGGGUGCGUAACGCGUGGGAACCUGCCCUUAGGUUCGGAAUAACUCCCCGAAAGGGGUGCUAAUACCGGAUAAUGUCUUCGGACCAAAGAUUUAUCGACUUUGUGUGGGCCCGCGUUGGAUUAGCUAGUUGGUAGGGUAAAAGCCUACCAAGGCGACGAUCCAUAGCUGGUCUGAGAGGAUGAUCAGCGACACUGGGACUGGGACACGGCCCAGAAUCUUACGGGAGGCAGCAGUGGGGGAUAUUGGAAAAUGGGCGAAAGGCUGAACGAGCACGGGCGGGUAAGUGAUGAAGUCCUGAGAGAUGUAAAGCUCUUUUACCCGGGAUGGUAAUGACAGUACCGGGAGAAUAAGCUCCGGCUAACUCCGUG